rnacentral:rRNA from 1 species
AGUGAACGCUGGCGGUAGGCCUAACACAUGCAAGUCGAACGGCAGCACAGUAAGAGCUUGCUCUUACGGGUGGCGGGUGGCGGACGGGUGAGGAAUACAUCGGAAUCUACUUUUUCGUGGGGGAUAACGUAGGGAAACUUACGCUAAUACCGCAUACGACCUACGGGUGAAAGCAGGGGAUCUUCGGACCUUGCGCGAUUGAAUGAGCCGAUGUCGGAUUAGCUAGUUGGCGGGGUAAAGGCCCACCAAGGCGACGAUCCGUAGCUGGUCUGAGAGGAUGAUCAGCCACACUGGAACUGAGACACGGUCCAGACUCCUACGGGAGGCAGCAGUGGGGAAUAUUGGACGAUGGGCGCAAGCCGGAUCCAGCCAUACCGCGUGGGUGAAGAAGGCCUUCGGGUUGUAAAGCCCUUUUGUUGGGAAAGAAAAGCAGCAGGUUAAUACCCCGCUGUUCUGACGGUACCCAAAGAAUAAGCACCGGCUAACUUCGUG